UCCGGUAUGGUGUAGGGGUUAGCAUCGCCCGCUUUCAUGUUCAUUCUUGAGCUGAGGAGCCGGGUAGACCCGGGUUCGAUUCCCGGUACCGGAA